rnacentral:rRNA from 1 species
GCAGUAGAACGCUGAAGAGAGGAGCUUGCUCUUCUUGGAUGAGUUGCGAACGGGUGAGUAACGCGUAGGUAACCUGCCUUGUAGCGGGGGAUAACUAUUGGAAACGAUAGCUAAUACCGCAUAACAAUGGAUGACACAUGUCAUUUAUUUGAAAGGGGCAAUUGUUCCACUACAAGAUGGACCUGCGUUGUAUUAGCUAGUAGGUGAGGUAAUGGCUCACCUAGGCGACGAUACAUAGCCGACCUGAGAGGGUGAUCGGCCACACUGGGACUGAGACACGGCCCAGACUCCUACGGGAGGCAGCAGUAGGGAAUCUUCGGCAAUGGGGGCAACCCUGACCGAGCAACGCCGCGUGAGUGAAGAAGGUUUUCGGAUCGUAAAGCUCUGUUGUAAGUCAAGAACGGGUGUGAGAGUGGAAAGUUCACACUGUGACGGUAGCUUACCAGAAAGGGACGGCUAACUACGUGCCAGCAGCCGCGGUAAUACGUAGGUCCCGAGCGUUGUCCGGAUUUAUUGGGCGUAAAGCGAGCGCAGGCGGUUUGAUAAGUCUGAAGUUAAAGGCUGUGGCUCAACCAUAGUUCGCUUUGGAAACUGUCAAACUUGAGUGCAGAAGGGGAGAGUGGAAUUCCAUGUGUAGCGGUGAAAUGCGUAGAUAUAUGGAGGAACACCGGUGGCGAAAGCGGCUCUCUGGUCUGUAACUGACGCUGAGGCUCGAAAGCGUGGGGAGCGAACAGGAUUAGAUACCCUGGUAGUCCACGCCGUAAACGAUGAGUGCUAGGUGUUGGAUCCUUUCCGGGAUUCAGUGCCGCAGCUAACGCAUUAAGCACUCCGCCUGGGGAGUACGACCGCAAGGUUGAAACUCAAAGGAAUUGACGGGGGCCCGCACAAGCGGUGGAGCAUGUGGUUUAAUUCGAAGCAACGCGAAGAACCUUACCAGGUCUUGACAUCCCGAUGCUAUUUCUAGAGAUAGAAAGUUACUUCGGUACAUCGGUGACAGGUGGUGCAUGGUUGUCGUCAGCUCGUGUCGUGAGAUGUUGGGUUAAGUCCCGCAACGAGCGCAACCCCUAUUGUUAGUUGCCAUCAUUCAGUUGGGCACUCUAGCGAGACUGCCGGUAAUAAACCGGAGGAAGGUGGGGAUGACGUCAAAUCAUCAUGCCCCUUAUGACCUGGGCUACACACGUGCUACAAUGGUUGGUACAACGAGUUGCGAGUCGGUGACGGCGAGCUAAUCUCUUAAAGCCAAUCUCAGUUCGGAUUGUAGGCUGCAACUCGCCUACAUGAAGUCGGAAUCGCUAGUAAUCGCGGAUCAGCACGCCGCGGUGAAUACGUUCCCGGGCCUUGUACACACCGCCCGUCACACCACGAGAGUUUUAACACCCGAAGUCGGUGAGGAACCUUUGGAGCCAGCCGCCU